rnacentral:rRNA from 1 species
GGGUUAAUAUUCCCGUACCUUGGAUAGCUGCGAUGGAGAGACGGAGAAGGCUAGGUGAGCCGGGCGACGGUUGUCCCGGUUUAAGCAUGUAGGCAGUGGGAUUAGGCAAAUCCGGUCCCACAAUGCCGAGACGCGACGACGACUGCCCUUUAAGGGCGGGAAGUCAUUGAUGCCCUGCUUCCAGGAAAAUCUUCUAAGCUUCAGGCUAUUCGAGACCGUACCCCAAACCGACACAGGUGGUUGGGAUGAGUAUUCUAAGGCGCUUGAGAGAACUCGGGUGAAGGAACUAGGCAAAAUUGUACCGUAACUUCGGGAGAAGGUACGCCGCUGACGGUGACGAGACUUGCUCUCUGAGCUAUUGGCGGUCGCAGUGAAAAGGCCCCUGCAACUGUUUAUUAAAAACACAGCACUCUGCAAACGCGUAAGCGGACGUAUAGGGUGUGACGCCUGCCCGGUGCCGGAAGG